GACGAACGCUGGCGGCGUGCUUAACACAUGCAAGUCGAGCGGUAAGGCCCUUUCGGGGUACGACGAGCGGCGAACGGGUGAGUAACACGUGGGUGACCUGCCCUUAGCUCUGGGAUAAGCCUGGGAAACUGGGUCUAAUACCGGAUAUGACUCCAUAACGCAUGUUGUGGGGUGGAAAGCCUUGUGCGGCUAGGGAUGGGCCCGCGGCCUAUCAGCUUGUU
rnacentral:rRNA from 1 species